UACGUAGGGGGGCUAGCGUUGUCCGGAAUCAUUGGGCGUAAAGCGCGUGUAGGCGGCCCGGUAAGUCCGCUGUGAAAGUCGGGGGCUCAACCCUCGAAAGCCGGUGGAUACUGUCGGGCUCGAGUGCGGAAGAGGCGAGUGGAAUUCCUGGUGUAGCGGUGAAAUGCGCAGAUAUCAGGAGGAACACCAAUGGCGAAGGCAGCUCGCUGGAACGGUACUGACGCUGAGACGCGAAAGCGUGGGGAGCGAACAGG
rnacentral:rRNA from 1 species